AUUGAAAGCUGGCGGCAGGCCUAACACAUGCAAGUCGGGCGAGCGGAGGAAGGGUGAGUAAUGUAUGGGGAUCUGCCUGAUGGCGGGGGAUAACUACUGGAAACGGUAGCUAAUAACGCAUAACAUCAGAUGAACCAAUAUGGGAUUAGCUUGUAGGUGAGGUAACGGCUCACCUAGGCGGCGAUCCCUAGCUGGUUGGAGAGGAUGAUCAGCCACACUGGGACUGAGACACGGCCCAGACUCCUACGGGAGGCAGCAGUGGGGAAUAUUGCGCAAUGGGGGCAACCCUUACGCAGCCAUGCCGCGUGAAUGAAGAAGGCCUUCGGGUUGUAAAGUUCUUUCGGUAGCGAGGCGUUAACUACAGAAGAAGCACCGGCUAACUCCGUGCCAGCAGCCGCGGUAAUUC
rnacentral:rRNA from 1 species